CUUCCUCAUCUUCGUAAGACUACCCGCUGAACUUAAGCAUAUCAAUAAGCGGAGGAAAAGAAACCAACAGGGAUUGCCUCAGUAACGGCGAGUGAAGCGGCAAAAGCUCAAAUUUGAAAUCCUUCGGGAAUUGUAUUUUGAAGGUGGGKUUGRUUAGG
rnacentral:rRNA from 1 species